rnacentral:lncRNA from 1 species
UUUUUUUUUUCUUUUUCUGGAAACUUUCCAGCCACCUCACUUCUAAGGGUCCUGUGUUAUAAAGAGGAGCAAUGUAGGAACGGAGAGGAAUGAGAGCUUUGAGAGAGGACCAGGCUGUAGUCACACUGGCUGGCUCACAUUGUAUGCAUCUGGGAGCCAAGGUCCGGUUUGUGUUUUAACUGUCUUUUCUUGACUCACAGCAUUUCCCCCUUGUGUCUCUGUUAACUAUUCUGUUUUCUCACUAUAGGCCAUGAGGUGGGAAGCUAAAUGGUAUGUGACUCCUCCUCCCUGGUCUCACCUGCUGUUGUGUGCCUCUCUGAUGAGCCCUGUAGGCAAUGCAUUCUCCCUCACAAACCUGGUUCAACUGCCUCCCAGGUCUAUCCUGUCAGAGGAAAAACCCACCUGCCUCAUCUGAGGUUUUGUGUCUGAUAAAAUUAAUCCCAGCACUUGGCAGAGGCAGGUGGAUUUCUGAGAUCAAGGCCAGCCUAAUCUACAGAGUGAGUUCCAAGGACAGCCAGAGCUACACAGAGAAACUCUGUCUUGAAAAACCCAAAAAAAAUAAAAAAAUAAUAAUAAAAAAAAUUAAAGUAACUCAGGCACGUGGAGGGAGGGACUCCAACCGUGCUUACAGCAAGUGCCCUGUUCCCUUGAAAGGACACCCAAAUACUUUCAACAAAACCAUGGUGUAAUGUUUGGGAUGGGUGUUUUUUAUAUUAUUCUCUGCAAUUUAUGCUUAAUUGCUCAUUUUCAAAGCAAAUAAGAACUAAGGAAGUAAAGUAUGCAUUUGCUAAACGUCCCAGUGCACAUUGACUGCCGGCUCAUCGUUUUUUUUCCUGGUUAGAAAAGUACUUACUUCCUUUUCCCCAACACUACCAUGGUAAGAAAACCAUGGUCAGUACUAGUGAAGUAGAAAGAAUUAACCAGCAGCUAGAAGCAUUAGGUAUGUCCGCAUAGGUGGCGUUCUUUGACAUUUAUUCUCUUUUUUCCCCCUGUGAGGUUAUGUGCUACUAAAAAAAAUCCCUUUAAAACACAAACAUGUCUAAAGUAAAAAUAGCUCUCCCUCCACUGUCUCAGGGUAUUAUUCUGUGUGUUAUGAGCGUGCAUACCACAUGGCCACAUUCUUUCACAUAGCAUGCAUGUAUGCAUAUUGUUUUUAUUAACAAAUAGGAUCAACUCCAGUCCUGUUUUCUACAUGCUGCUGGUAUUUACCCACACUGGCUCUAUCCAAUCGGCUUGCCGUGUAGCGUAGCAUUUUCUUUAAGAUUUGGAGUUUUUGGAUUCCUGCAUGAUUUCAUAACUCCCCCAUCAGCAUUUAAAAUUUUUAUUUUAUUUUUAUUUAUGUGUAUGUUUGGGUCUGUGUGGGUAUGCACACAUGCAUGCAGGUAUUGACAAGAGGCCAGAAGAGGGCAUUAGUAGGAUCUCCUGGAGUUAGGGUUACAGGCAAUUGUGAGCUUCCAGAUAUUAGUACUGGGAACCGAACUCAGCUCUUCAGCAAGGCAGCAAAAGCUCUUGACUGCCGAGCUCUCUCCAAAUUAGAAGCGUGUUGUGAAUUUAUGACGAUUCAAGCACUGCACAUACUGUGCCUUAGAAAAUAUAAUCUGAUUUCAAGUAAUGCUGAAGUUCUUUUUUUUUUUUUUUUUUUUUUCCAUUAAUGCUGAAGUUCUAAGGACUGUGGAUGUCCCAGUGUCAGUUAUUGGCAUCACACCGGCAGCCUCUCGUGUAGACACUGUUCCAGUUGCUGGUGUGUUAAUUGGUUGGCCUGGGCUUGAACACAUGACGAAGAAGGGGUGGCAGGCAGUGCUUAGCAAAAGACAGGGGCUGCCAAGUGAGAGAGACCAACGUUGGGACAUCAGUGGGAUGGUGAUGGAGGCAGACCUUGAACAUCAAUUGUAAAAAGCCCAUAGCAAGACAUGAAGUCAUAGACCAGCAGCAGUCUAGCCUGGGCAUCUGCUCUUGAGACACUGGUAAGAACUUGGUGCUGAUGUUCAAAGGACCAGUUUGAAGAGGGGUGAGCAUUUGUGCACAUAGAUUUCCAAGUCUUCAUGCCCCUGAGGAGCCCCCUUGUGUCUUAAGGAGGACAGUAAGUGAGCUGUGAGGUGGACGGACAGGAGGGACCUAGGAGCCCUGUAAAUACUUCUCUUCCUCUUCCUAGCCUGCCCAGUAGCUGGGCAGGGAAGGGAAGAGACUGUCUUAAAGUCAGCUCCGAGGAUGUUCUACACACAUUGCGCUGGAAAUUAAACUCUGUGG